rnacentral:rRNA from 1 species
GAUGAACGCUAGCUACAGGCUUAACACAUGCAAGUCGAGGGGUAACAAGAGGAAAGCUUGCUUUUCUUGUUGACGACCGGCGCACGGGUGAGUAACGCGUAUCCAACCUGCCUAUAACUAGGGAAUAACCUUGCGAAAGUAAGACUAAUACCCUAUGAUUUCCUUUGAUGACAUCAGAUUAGGAAUAAAGAUUUAUCGGUUAUAGAUGGGGAUGCGUCUGAUUAGCUUGUUGGCGGGGUAACGGCUCACCAAGGCGACGAUCCGUAGCGGGUCUGAAAGGAUGAUCCGCCACGCUGGGACUGAGACACGGCCCAGACUCCUACGGGAGGCAGCAGUGGGGAAUGUUUGACAAUGGGCGCAAGACUGAUCCAGCCAUGCCGCGUGCGGGAAGACGGCCUUCGGGUUGUAAACCGCUUUCGGACAGAAAGAAAUCGCAUGGGUUAAUACCCGGUGUGGAUGACGGUACUGUAAGAAGAAGCACCGGCUAACUACGUGCCAGCAGCCGCCGUAACAC